GCCCAAGUGGUGAAAUUGGUAGACACGCUACAUUCAGGGUGUAGUGUCCAUACGGACGUGCAAGUUCAAGUCUUGUCUUGGGUA
rnacentral:tRNA from 1 species